UAUUCUCAGUCCUCUCAGACUCUCUCCUUCUCAUCUUCUCAAAGAACGGCGCCGAUGGCUUUCCCCGCCGUGAGCCACCGUCUCCGGCCUUUCAACCAACAACACCUAAACAUAAACUCAACCUGAAAUUGCGUCCUGAACCUGAAUCUAUGGUCAAUUUAACAAGAGGAGUGUGCGAAUGCCAGUUAUGGAGAAAGGGAGGAACGCGAACCCUAGGUGCGAUAUUUUCCAAUUCGGCGUGAAUCAAGACGAAGACGAAGCCAAGACAGUUCAUCACAACAAUGAGAGUGACAGGAGAUGGAGAUUCGUACCUGAAGCGAAGGACAAACGCGACGCGACGAGAAUACCGGAGGGGAGACUCCACUUGCUCGAGCGUGCGAAAUAAACGCAGAGACUGAAGAGUUCUUCGGGUUGAAGCUGAUAUGAAGGUGAUGUUGAAGCUGCGUGAUGAUGAUGAUGACUGAAUGAAGCAGAGAUGAGAGAUGAUGAUGAUGACUGAAUGAAGCAGCGAUGAGAGAUGAUGAAGACUCUGAGAUGAAUGAGGUGAAGGAGAAGUGAUGAUGAGUGAAGGUGAUGAAGAUUCAGAGUGGAAGAAUGGUUGAAGAACGAUGAUGAAUCAUGGAGAGGAUUGUGGAGUUCCGAGAUGAUGAUUGAAGGUGAAUGGUGGAGAAUGGAGAUGAAGAUUUGAAGAAUUGAAGGAUGAAGAUUAUGAAUUGUGGAAGAAAUUGUGGGGAGCGAAUCGGAGCGUUGAAACUGAAGUGAAGCCUGAAUAUAAAUAGGUCCUGGCUUGGUUUUGGGGAUGGAAUAUGGGGCAUGAGCUGCGGUAGAAGUCAUAUUGAAGAAGAGAUUGAGAGUAAUGAUUGUUGGUUGCUGAUAAAGAAACCGAGCCACUGGAAAAAGAAUGCAAGGGAACAGCGUCACCGAAAUUGAAUGUGCUGCUGUUGAAAAAUAUAUAUUUUUUGUAAUUUUUGUAAUGAAUGGAAUGGAUGAAUAUUGUAUGUAAUGAAGUUUAUUUUGUAUGGGAAUUAUGCAUGAGGCUUGAAGUAUGUAAGUUUAUGGUUUGAGUUAUGACUAUAUGAAGGACAAUUAUGGAUGAUUGGAACAAUGACAAGAAGUUGUUCGGGAAUUCGAAUGAUAUGUAAAACUUGGUUUUAAAUAAUGGAUGUCAUUUGA